rnacentral:rRNA from 1 species
CGAUGCAGACUUGAUGAUGCAUUGGCAUAAUAGCCAUUGCAGUGUCGCAGGGAAGCCGUUAAGUCUGCCGCCUGGGAAGUACGUACGCAAGUAUGAAACUUAAAGGGAAUUGGCGGGGGAGCACCACAAGGGGUGAAGCCUGCGGUUCAAUUGGAGUCAACGCCAGAAAUCUUACCCGGAGAGACAGCAGAAUGAAGGUCAAGCUGAAGACUUUACCAGACAAGCUGAGAGGUGGUGCAUGGCCGUCGCCAGCUCGUGCCGUGAGAUGUCCUGUUAAGUCAGGUAACGAGCGAGAUCCCUACCGCUAGUUGCUAUCAUUAUUCUCAGGAAUAGUGGGGCGAAUUAGUGGGACUGCCGUUGUUAAAACGGAGGAAGGAAGGGGCUACGGCAGGUCAGUAUGCCCCGAAACUCUGGGGCCACACGCGGGCUGCAAUGGUAGUGACAAUGAGUUCCAAACUCGAAAGAGAGUGGCAAUCUCUAAACGCUACCACAGUUAUGACUGAGGGCUGUAACUCGCCCUCACGAAUAUGGAAUCCCUAGUAACCGCGUGUCAUUACCGCGCGGUGAAUACGUCCCUGCUCCUUGCACACACCGCCCGUCGUUUCAUNGAAGUUUGCUUU